rnacentral:SRP_RNA from 1 species
GCUGGGCGCGGUGGUGCAUGCCUGUAGUCCCAGCUACUCGGGAGGCUGAAGUGGGAGGAUCGCUUGAGGCCAGGAGUUCUGGGCUGCAGUGCGCUAUACUGAUCGGGUGUCUGCACUAAGUUCGGCAUCAAUAUGGUGACCUCCCGGGAGCGGGGGAUCACCAGGUUGCCUAAGGAGGGUGAAUCGGCCCAGGUCGGAAAUGGAGCAGGUCAAAACUCCCGUGCUGAUCGGUAGUGGGAUCGCGCCUGUGAAUAGCCACUGCACCCCAGCCUGGGCAACAUAACCAGACCCUGUCUCU